CAUAUCCUAGUUGGUGAUUUAGCUAACUUAAAGCUAACUUAGAUAGUUUACUUAAAAAAAUACUAAUACCUAAGUUACUAAGCCAGUUACUGAUACUGAAAACAUUAUUGUUCUGCAAAAUGGCAUACAAACUCAAAAUAUCUGGAAGUACUAUUAAGAUAAUGUUACAGUAAUGCAACUAGCUGGCUGUCAUCUAUCUGUCAUUUAGCUGUAAGCUAGUGUUAUAACUUAUUGUUUAGGGGUUUGUUAGCAUAGUUGUUGCUAGCAUGGCAGCUGGACUAUAUUUAGCAAAAUUUGCUGUCAGAUUGAAUGGCAGUGCAGUUUUAUACAGUCUAGGGUGCAGUUACGUUCGUAGUUUUUGAAAUGGCAUCAAAUAAGGUUACUUGAUCUCACGAAUUUAACAUAACAAAUGCUAGCUAACAAGCACAGCAAAAUGUGAAUUGUCUUUGUUCUCAGAGAACUCUAUGUUAAAAAGAAGGCCUGGCUGUUUUGAGGAACAAGUCGACCUCGUAGGAUCACAGUGUUUCUUCUUCAAGCUGCACAGGAGUGCUCUGCUGGAAUGCUGCUAAGCUGCAGAUGUACCAGCCAAAUUACUCCAGUGGGGAAUUACCAGGCCAUAAAUCCAGACGUCAGGAGGAUGGCUGUAACCUAUUUCACGAUGGCUGCUGUACUACUGCCCCUCCUGGUGUGAACCUGCUUAAGUUCCUUGUCGAAGCCCAGUGAGUCAGUCUGGGUGAGUGAUUGCCAAAGAGGAGAAAAGCGUUUUAUGAAAGGCACAGAGGAGCUCAUGGCAGUUUUACGCCCUCCACCUUCAGGAAACAGAUAAUUACAGGCUGCAUUAUGUGCUGUAGUAUCAUGUCAGAAAGUAUAGUGACUGCACAGGACUGCUGAAUGCGCUAUUACAGCAGUUGUUCCAAUUGUAAAACGAUGAUUAUACUCUAUGAUCCGUUUAAUGACAGAUAUGGGGAUUUUUUAUUUAUUUCUUUUUUUUUUUGCUCAGCUGGUAUUUAGCACAUAUCUCAGUGUGGUGCUUUUAAACACAUCUCACAAUUUAAGGGUGAAGGAACAAAAAUUUGGAACUAGUUUAGAGAAAAUGGCUUAAUAGGAAUCUCACCGGGUUAUUUUCAAGUAUAAGCCCAAACUUACAGAUCUGUCACAGCUUUAAUUUAGUGACCUCCCAUAGUGUAUUUGUUCUUUUUAUUUAUUAUUAUUAUUUUUCUUACUUUUUUUGCUUUCAGGAUAAAAAAAAAUAAUUAUUGAGGAAAUAGUCCUUACUUUUCGAGGGCUGAUUGAAGGUCAUUCAAACACGAGUACCUGUGCUGUGGAGAUUAAACGGCUUGGUAUUAAGAGUCUUCAUUUCAAGUCAUUUGAGGUCAUAUCUGGCAUGUCACAGAGACUGUCGCCUAAACAUCCUCUUUGAUGUCCUUAACCAAGUCUAUUUGUUGUAUGCCUUAAUUGUAACCACAGCUUUAAUAAAGUCCAAACCGAGUGAAAAAA